GAAGAAAGCGGGAGGCGUGCCUAAUACAUGCAAGUUGAGCGAUGAAGAUUGGUGCUUGCACCAAUUUGAAGAGCAGCGAACGGGUGAGUAACGCGUGGGGAAUCUGCCUUUGAGCGGGGGACAACAUUUGGAAACGAAUGCUAAUACCGCAUAACAACUUUAAACAUAAGUUUUAAGUUUGAAAGAUGCAAUUGCAUCACUCAAAGAUGAUCCCGCGUUGUAUUAGCUAGUUGGUGAGGUAAAGGCUCACCAAGGCGAUGAUACAUAGCCGACCUGAGAGGGUGAUCGGCCACAUUGGGACUGAGACACGGCCCAAACUCCUACGGGAGGCAGCAGUAGGGAAUCUUCGGCAAUGGACGAAAGUCUGACCGAGCAACGCCGCGUGAGUGAAGAAGGGUUUCGGAUCGUAAAACUCUGUUGGUAGAGAAGAACGUUGGUGGGAGUGGAAAGCUCAUCAAGUGACGGUAACUACCCAGAAAGGGACGGCUAACUACGUG
rnacentral:rRNA from 1 species